rnacentral:rRNA from 1 species
CAGCCGCCGCGGUAAUACGUAGGUGGCAAGCGUUGUCCGGAAUUAUUGGGCGUAAAGGGCUCGCAGGCGGUUUCUUAAGUCUGAUGUGAAAGCCCCCGGCUCAACCGGGGAGGGUCACUGGAAACUGGGAAACUUGAGUGCAGAAGAGGAGAGUGGAAUUCCACGUGUAGCGGUGAAAUGCGUAGAGAUGUGGAGGAACACCAGUGGCGAAGGCGAUUCUCUGGUCUGUAACUGACGCUGAGGAGCGAAAGCGUGGGGAGCGAACAGGAUUAGAUACCCGCGUAGUCCCUGUCUCUUAUAC